UUUUUUUAUGUGCCUUUUAAAUAUAUAUAUAUAUAUAUAUAUAUAUAUAUAUAGCAAAUAAAAUUUUAUCAUAUUAUCAGACGUAUAUGUUUAUAUAUUUAGCAACAGUUACUGCACUAUAGACUAGUUACUUUGUUUCAGAAUCAAGAGUUUUAGCAAAGAAGCUAAAGCAACGGCUGGAACCUUCUGGCCUUUGCGUUACCCCAGAAAAAAAAUAAACAAAAUUAGAAGAUUGUCUAAAAUUCUUUAAAACUUGUAACUUUUUUAAUAUACUUUUUAUCAAGGUUAAUAGGUACAGCGUUACAGGCACCAAGAGCAUAUAUAGUUACACAGACCUUGACUGGUCAUAAAUUAACAUCGGUAAACAUGAACAAAAAGUGAUCAUUGAAAUAUACCUGUAUCAUAGCGUAACUACAGAAAUAAAAACCUGAAGUCCACAAUAAGUAACAAACCUCAGACUUUCAAAUUAAAGGCAGCUAGAAAUGCUUUGUGAAAUUACUACUGUUAGGGGUAAUGUGAACCUGACUGCAGCCAUCUUGUUCCUCGCAGCCAUCUUGUGAUGAUUAGAAACCAUUUUGUAAUGAUUAGACUUUAUUAUACUGGGUUAUUAUGUAGUGGGAACUAUGUGCUUGUUAUGGUAGCUUCCUUAGCUGUUCGGCCUUGUAGAAGCUUCCUGGCUGUACGCCCAUAAGAAUAUAAUGUCAAUAAGAUGGUCCAGAGACCUUGUUGUCUCUGCAGAUGUUAGCUUAUUAUGACUAUCGAUUAUUGUUAUGAGCUAGUGAAUUUCCAGAAUCACACUGUGCUCUACUCUGUAUAACUGUGUAAGAUGACGCGGUCCUAACGUGUCAUCCCCUUAACCCUGUAUGUUGUUACUGAAGUCUAUAAGAUAGGCUUGCACUGUUCAAUAAACAUGAUUGGCGUUAGAUAAUAUUGCUGCGUGGUCUGAGUCAUUCUAAGGGAUCCUUAUCAGAUAAUCUACAUCUGCCUCAGGUGGUACAGUGGGCCCGUGGCUUCGGCCUGACCUGACACUUACCCCCCUGGGGAAACACCUAACAAUUUUGGUGUCAGAAGUGGGAUUCGCAGUGAGUGAGUAUGAGUGCUUUUACCAUGCUUUCCUUCUGUGAAUCUGAAACUAAAUUUAGUCUGGUAAUAGGUGUUGAUAAUAUAUGAUAAAGGGUUAAGGGGUUCCUGUGGUUGAGACGCAGGUUUGCAGAGGUUAUAGUCCUGCCGGCAGUUGUGAUAACCCCUCCAGACAGGUUAAGAGUCCUGUGCUGGGUUACGACAGGUAUUGUGAGUCCUGUCUGUGAUAAGCGCGCAAGAAAUAAAUGAAUGCCAUUUGAUGGCAGGUUUUAAAGCUAAGCUCCCCCGGGAGGUUGGCAGUGAGUGAGUCUCACGUGUGUUAAAGUUUCCCAUAUUCAUUCCCAUAAUAGAGUUUUGUUACCCACCUGAAACUCAUGUUGAUAUCUGAUGCUUGCUUUGCUUUGUUUGUGUUUUGCUGCUAUAUAAUUGCUUAGAAAAUAUUAAGUGGCUAUGCAUGUUAUUAUUGUGGCUAUUAUUGUGUGGAGGAAUGGGAUCUGCUUAUAGAUAAUAAUGCACAGAGAAAAGUACAUGUAUAAGGUCGAAAAAAAAAAUGAGUUAAUAGUUUCUGCAAAAGACAGAAGCGUUUUAAAACACUGUCAGUGAGUACUGCUGUGUGGUAAAUAGAGAAAUCUCUGUGUUAAAAAAAAUGUAGCAGGCAAAGAAGGGGAGGGGGGCCACCACUGAGCGCUCACACAGGUCAGAGAACAGAAAAAAAAGAAAAAAAAGAAACUGUUACAGCAGCUCCGUUUGUAAGACUUUUUGUUUGCUUGCAGUAAUGAAAAGGAAAUUAUUUUGUAUAUUGAGAUGCAUAAUGUGUGAUGGUCUGUCGGUUCUCACUGUGGUAUGCGUGUAACAGAUUUACUUUAAACCAAAAACAGAAUGUAUUAUUUGAAAAUGAUUGUCCCAAUCCAUGCAAAAAAUUGCCAUUUUGCGGGUAUUCGGAAGGAAAUACAUUUUGAACUUGGUGACAAGUUAAUCUUGUGGGUUUUUUUAUGUAUUUGGUACGCUAUGAAAUAGAUGUUUUUCUGAGAAAGGAAAAAAGGGAGUGAAUCUCUGGUAUGUGAGAUGAGAUGGGUUUGUGUGUCUGUAUCGCUGUAAAAAUGUUUCUUUCUGUUUCUCUGCUGGGAAAUCAGACGUUGUAAGGAGGUAUUUUGUAGUGUUAUUUUUUAUACUUGUAUUUUAAAGUCAGCAGCAUGUUUUAAGUAUGUGGCAUUAAUAAGCAGUUUUAGUUUUAAGUGAUAAUUGUUUUUCGGCAUGUAAAUAUAUGAUAUUGUUUUAGCAAGUGAAGUAACGGCUUUGAAAGUGGAUUUGAAAGUGCGACGGUGUGUGUGAUUUUUGUCACGCUCUGGUAAAUAUGAAACUGUUUCUUGUAUGAUUAAUGGGUUAACGUAUGUUGUAUUUGUAAGGUCUGUGCACGGAGUUAGUGCACACAAUGAAAUAUAGUUAUAGGCUGCAAUUUACAUUUUAUUAUUUAAAGGAUCAGUUCACUCUGGUGAAAGGAGUUCAGGAGCAGCAAUAACACUGUAUUAGUAGUUUGCAAAAUAUAUUUUAAGAGACCUUUCUUUGUAUAUAUUUAUUUUAAAUCUGCCGUUUAAAUAGCAGAUAUUUCUUUUUGCAGUAUAACUUAAUUCUCUCUGUAAUGCAAACUGAAGUGAUAAGUUGUCUACAAUUUUAGUGUAACGAUCUGUGAGACUAGCGGAAAAAAAAAAACACAAGAAAAAAACAGAGGAGUGAAAAUAUUUAAAGGGAUACAGGCAAACUGAUAUAACAUCUGAGAAUUUAAGGGAAUAUUUACAUAAAAGACAAUGACGUUUACUGUAAGCCUAACACUAGAAUAUUUCACUGUGUUAGCAGCUUCAAUUAAAGAUUAUUUUUUUAGUUUGGGUAAAAUGUCCCUUUAACUAGCCUGCAUCCCACUGUGAAUGCGUUCUUAUGCUGCUUAUGCUUGCUUAGGCUAUUUAAUGAACGUCAGUAUACAUUUUUUAUUAUAAGUAAGGCCAAUGGAUCAUUGGGAAUAAUUUAAAGGGGAAAUUUUAUUGUUAUUCUUUUGUAGAAAGCAUAUUUUUGUGUUAUAUGCAGUUGUUACAUUUGGCUGGAGAGCUGCAGAAUGGUGAAUAUCAAAUUAUACACAACGUUAAAUCCAAUAAUUUUGUUGUGGUUAAACUAAUUAGCAUUUAUCAAGUUUUAGUGUGAAUUUUAUAUUUUUAAGCAGUAAACAGUGUUUUUCCUUUAAGUAAAAAUGAAACUUUGAGCUUGCCUUACUAUCCUUGAGAAGAAUGAUAACACUGUGCAUGUUUUGGUUUUCUUUAAAAAAAAAAAAAAAAAAGGUUCUCUCUCGUGUUUGGCUUACACUUUACACUAAAAAUACCAGGAGGAAAAAGUGAUUUUGAUGAUAAAAGUACAUUGGAAAGUUGGUUAAAAUUAAAAGUCCUAUCUGAAUAAUGAAAUUUUCAUUUAUACUAGUAUGUCCCUUUAACAGUGGAUUUGCUUGGUGCAUGCGGCAGGAGAACGGUGGCUGUACCAUGGUUAUCUGAUCUUUCCCAAAUAAGCGCAAAUUUAUUUGUACAAUAUGCAACUGAAGUUUCUUGAGCAUCUGCUGUGAUUGCUUUAUUUGUGUGAUAUCAAAGUUUUGUACAUAGUAGACGUUGCAGAGCCUGGGUAUAGAUGGUUCUUAGGGGGAUGUUUUUAAUUAUUUGUAGUGUUUUGCGAGUGUUGCAUUUCAGUGAAUGUCAGAAUAUGUGUUGAAUUUUAGGUUAAUUGUGGUUGUUUGAAAUUUGUGUCGGCAGCUAAUGUUUUGUUUUGUGAAAGACAAGAACAAGUGGUUUUCAAUGUUUGUUUGUUAUGUUUUUCUCUUUUGUGACUACGUGUGGAAGCGUGCUGUAUGGACAGCAUAUUGAAUAGUGAAGUGUAUUUGAUUUUGCUUGCUAUUGAGAAUUGUCUCUGCAUGAGUGGAGUGCAUGAUUUGUCGUUUAGUUUCUUGUUAUGUUGUGUUUGCGUGUCACAUGGGAUGUUUCACGCAAACAAGGGGGAAGUAUUGAUGAGUAUUGAUGAAUAUCUUUAUGUAAUGGGGGUGAUUGUUUUUAGGAGGUGUACCUAAAACGUUUUGAAUCUCCUCUUACAAUGUUAUUGCCUAACCACCAGCUGUGCCCUAAAUUUCCCUGUCUUAUCCCAAUGCAGGAUGCACUACGUCCCUAGGAUUGUCUAGAACUUUCCUUCAUUGGGAAUCUGGCCACGGACAUCAUCUACCUUGAUAGCCACCCCGGUCAUAGCCUGUAGACCCAGACCCCACUCUUUUUUCCCUCCCUGGUGGAUUAGAUCUCUUCAUUGUCUCUCUGUGUUGUAUUUUGCUCUCAUAUUUCAGAUGCCUAAAAUGUUUUAUUUUUCUAUUUGGUUCUUAACACUAUAUUUGGAUUUUUAGGAUGAGAGUAUGCUGCUGUAUCCAGAGAUUAAAAGACACUAACUGAAUUAUCUUUGAGUUUCCAUAUUUAGGUAAAAUCUGUACAGGCAAAAUUCCAUAAGUGCACUCUUCAAAAGAUUAAAUAUUGAAAGCAAGUAAACCUUUAAAGAAAGAAAAGAUGAAUAUGAAAGACCUUUUGUCAAGCUUGUUUUAACCACCAUACUGCAGUAAAAGUUGCUGAACUAUCUUUGGAUCCAUUCUUUGCUUUGCAUGCUGGUACCAGCCCCAGAACUGGACUCUGGGUAAUCCAUGACUGUUUCCUCUGAUGUGUGUCUUCAGGACAUAAACACUAUCCUUCUCUGGACUGUGCCUUGCCGCUCGAAAUGGAGGACCUGAUUCCCUGUGACUCGAGUGUUUGCUUACCAUGGGUAUCCACUGGUUGCCUUGUCUACCCCAUGAACAAACCAUCAGAUUUCCAGCAUCUCCCUGCAGAAGAACAUUGGAUAAGCACCCCUACUGCAAAUGAACUGUUGGAGAACUGUAUUAUAGCAAAGUGUCAAGGUGCAGCGCUCUCAAAUGGACAAAGACUGUUCUUAAAGUGAUCAGAGGCCACCUAGAGACAGUUGUGCUGUUGCUAUGUCAUGCUUUACUGUGGAGAAGGAACUGUUGGACAUAUUGGGGGGUGCUAGCAAUGCAGGUGGAGAAAUAAAAGAUGCAGCGUUGUUUGGGGGUAGAUGGGGGGCUGGUUGGGUCUCUGUGCCGGUAGACCGGUAGUUUUGGGAAGGCUGGAAGAUAGAUGGAAGGUAUUGGAGGGACUGUACCUAUAUGCAGUGACAAUUAGCCUAUAAAAGUAUAUCACGACAUAGGAAUAUUUUUCUCUUUAGUAUUCUCACAUAGAGUUCUGUUACCAUAAUAUAAGGCUUUACUAAUUUUCUAUGCCUGUCUAUUUUUAUUCUGCUAGAAUAAAAGUAUGGUAUGUUAGGGGUAAUGUGAACCUGACUGCAGCCAUCUUGUUCUUCGCAGCCAUCUUGUGAUGAUUAGCAUCCAUUUUGUAAUGAUUAGACUUUAUUAUACUGGGUUAUUAUGUAGUGGGAACUAUGUGCUUGUUAUGGUAGUUUCCUUAGCUGUUCGGCCUUGUAGAAGCUUCCUGGCUGUACGCCCAGAAAAAUAUAAUGUCAAUAAGAUGGUCCAGAGACCUUGUUGUCUCUGCAGAUGUUAGCUUAUUAUGACUAUCGAUUAUUGUUAUGAGCUAGUGAAUUUCCAGAAUCACACUGUGCUCUACUCUGUAUUCCUUAACCCUGUAUGUUGUUACUGAAGUCUAUAAGAUAGGCUUGCACUGUUCAAAAAACAUGAUUGGCGUUAGAUCAUA